CACAAGAUCUCAUGGUUUUAAAAACGGGAGUUUCCCUGCACAAGUUAUUUUUUUGCCUGCUGCCUUCCACGUAAGAUGUGACUUGCUCCACCUUGCCUUCCGCCAUGAUCGUAAGGCCUCCCCAGCCAUUUGGAACUACAGAGUGUCACUGUAUUGCCCAGGCUGGAAUGGAGUGGUGUAAUCUUGGCUCACUGCAACCUCCGCCUUCUGGGGGUUCAAGCGAUUCUCAUGCCUCAGCCUCCCGAGCAGGCGCACAACACCACGCCCGGCUAAUUUUUGUAUUUUUAGUAGAGAUGGGGUUUUGCUAUGUUGGCCAGGCUGGUCUGACACUCCUAGCCUCAAGUCUGGUCUGCCUGUCCUGGCCUCUCAAAGUACUAGGAUUACAGGCAUGAGCCACCGCACCCAGUCCUGAUUUUAUCUCUUGAUCAUCUGGAUUAAACUGUACCAGAAGACACUCCUGGGACUUUUGGAUUGCGCAAACAAAUAAAUUUUUUCUUUUGCCUGAGUAAUUUUGUGCUGGAUAUCUGUCCUGGCUGAUAUAGUUAUGGCUGAUAUGU
rnacentral:lncRNA from 1 species